rnacentral:ncRNA from 1 species
UAUAACCACUAGGGGUGCCUUUGCGCUGAGAUGGCAUUUUGCCGACCCUUUGAACCUGAUUUGGUUAACACCAACGGAGAGUAUUAUAACGUUAUUUUA